AUGCAAAGUAAGCAAGUGAGUGUUAAUUACCUGUUGCUUACCCGAAUUCAGAGCUCUCCAGGAGCGUUCACAGAUCUUCCUUGCAGCGUGUCCGAUGCUGCCGCGUUCUACCGGGCCGAGGAGGGGAGCUCGACGGAGAAGGUCUUCUGGUCUCAGUAUGCUGAGGCCGGACAUCCGGUGCCCCUUAGCGACCAGCUGAAGCAGCUGGUCGAGCUCCACAAGGCGGCCGAACAGGCCAUGAAGGGCCUCAUAGUUCGGCUGUGGCCUAAGGAGGCCAUGCCUGGGAGCUACUUCGGCCUGGUGCGGCGGCUGGUGGAUGCGUGCUCGUGGGUUGAAGUCAUCAAGCACUCCGCCUGUAUUGAAGGUGCCCGUUGGGCCCUUGCCCGCGCAAAGGUGCACUGGGGCAAGAUGGAUGCCCAAAAGCUCGUGACGGACCCACCACCGGAGGGCAAGGAGCAUCGCAUGACCGAGAUGUAUUAUAAGAGUGUGCUGAAGGGCGCGCGCACUAUUGCGGGUGAGUGCUCCAAAGAUGUAAUAUUUGAGUAG
rnacentral:rRNA from 1 species